CAGUAGCCACGGGAAUACGUAGGUGGCAAGCGUUGUCCGGAAUUAUUGGGCGUAAAGGGCUCGCAGGCGGUUUCUUAAGUCUGAUGUGAAAGCCCCCGGCUCAACCGGGGAGGGUCAUUGGAAACUGGGAAACUUGAGCGCAGAAGAGGAGAGUGGAAUUCCACGUGUAGCGGUGAAAUGCGUAGAGAUGUGGAGGAACACCAGUGGCGAAGGCGACUCUCUGGUCUGUAACUGACGCUGAGGAGCGAAAGCGUGGGGAGCGAACAGGAUUAGAUACCCCUGUAGUCCCUGUCUCUUAUAC
rnacentral:rRNA from 1 species